UGGGGAAUAUUGGACAAUGGGCGCAAGCCUGAUCCAGCCAUGCCGCGUGAGUGAUGAAGGCCCUAGGGUUGUAAAGCUCUUUCACCGGUGAAGAUAAUGACGGUAACCGGAGAAGAAGCCCCGGCUAACUUCGUGCCAGCAGCCGCGGUAAUACGAAGGGGGCUAGCGUUGUUCGGAUUUACUGGGCGUAAAGCGCACGUAGGCGGACUUUUAAGUCAGGGGUGAAAUCCCGGGGCUCAACCCCGGAACUGCCUUUGAUACUGGAAGUCUUGAGUAUGGUAGAGGUGAGUGGAAUUCCGAGUGUAGAGGUGAAAUUCGUAGAUAUUCGGAGGAACACCAGUGGCGAAGGCGGCUCACUGGACCAUUAUUGACGCUGAGGUGCGAAAGCGUGGGGAGCAAACAGG
rnacentral:rRNA from 1 species